GCAACUCUACAUAAAAAAUUUACCUUUGUCCCUUAGGGAAAGCUGAUGGCAGAGGCUGCCAAAUGCCUGGGUCUGAAGCAUGUGAUACGGUGGCCUGGAGAUUGUCAACUGCCUGAGUAUGUGGCAGGAAGUACACCAAGGACUUAAAAUCCCUGGGAACAACCCUCCACCAGCAGUGGCAGUAGAUAAAUGCCCAACCUCAGCCUCUGGUCAACGUGGUCAGAAUAAGAUGGUGUCAGUUGUGUUUAAGUAUGAGCAGCUGUGAGCUGGUGAGCAGGGCAUUUAAGGAGUCAUUGCAUGUAUCAUCGUUGUCAAGAACAGGGCUUUAUAUAAAAAUGCCACCUUCAGUCAUUUAUUUUCAGUAUCCAGCAGUGGCUGGCAUCUAGUAGGUAUUCAGUGGAUGCCUGGGAAAUGAACAAACAUAUUCCUUUAAUGGUGGACUCAGCAGUCUUCAGAGCUUCCUUAAUGACUGGAGAAUGUCUUUAACUGUUAAACCUGUGCACCUGUGUUUCCCAGGCAUCCUUUGGCCUUGAAUUCCCAAAGGAACUCCUUCUCCCAUAUCUCCUAAGAGCUCUGGAAGUAGCAGCUCAUCAGUGCCCUCCCUGACCUGGGAGGUUAGGCCAGGAUGCCCCUAAGAUCGUCUGGUUAAUCCAGCCAAUCCCAGAGCUGGGGCCAGAACCCCUGUGUGUAGCCCUCUUCCCACAGUAGCCACUGUGGACAAUCCAAGAAAGUACUCGGGGAGGCUAACAGCCGUAUUUUCAGAUUCAAUUUCAACAAAGUGUUACCAUUUAAGAAAGCCUGCCAAAAAGAUAAUGGGGAUGAAAGAGUGCUCUGUAAACUGUAAAGUGCCAUUCAAAGGUUAGCCAUCUGAGGUUCACUGCCAAGGUCAAUAAACCAAGGCCUGGGUGUAGAGCCA
rnacentral:lncRNA from 1 species